rnacentral:rRNA from 1 species
GACGGGGGAUGCAAGCGUUAUCCGGAAUCACUGGGCGUAAAGCGUCUGUAGGUGGUGAUGCAAGUCCCUGGUGCAAAACUCUGGCUCAACCGGAGGAAAGCCAGUGAAACUGCAUGACUAGAGUGUGGAAGAGGUAGAAGGAAUUCCCUGAGUAGCGGUGAAAUGCGUAGAUACAGGGAAGAACACCGGAGGCGAAAGCGUUCUACUGGAACACAACUGACACUGAGAGACGAAAGCUAGGGGGGCGAAUGGG